rnacentral:tRNA from 1 species
GGGAAUAUGGCUUAGUGGUAGAGUGCUUGCCUAACAUGCAUGAAGCCCUGGGUUCAAUUCCUCAGUACCA